CUAUGUCAUGACCCUUAGAUAAAUCAGGGAUAUUCCAGCUUAUAUCCUAGUCCACUAAUAUGCUCCUCUUUUGGUCAGUUCUCCAUUCACUGAGAUGGGAGACCUGGAUCUGAAUUCUUAAUGGAGAAUGGAUCCAAAGACAGCCAGAGCAGAACAAGGCUUCACAGAGAAGACAGCAGGCAGGACAGCGGUGAAACAGGAUUCUAGGAAAGAGCGCUAAGGAGCCUUCUUGGGUUUGGAGGAGCUCAAGAGAAAGGUGGACUAGCUUGGUGGAAUGACACAGAAAGAUUUCUGAAGAGCUAGCAGUUUAGUGGUAGGAUCAGGCCUGUAAAUAGAUACUUUGUAUAGAGUUAAGAAAAGAAAGUUGCCUUGCUGAGUGAGCAGAUUUUUUUUUUUUUUUUUUUAAAUCCUGGG
rnacentral:lncRNA from 1 species